CAAAAUUAAUAAUAUAUAUUUUUGGAAAAACUUCAAACAUUCCCACGUGGUUUCGCACUCUUUCAUUUUAGCACCCUUUGGUUUAAAGUGUAUCAAAUUAGUACCCUGUAGUUUCGCACUUUCUCACUUUAGUACCCUGUGGUUUAAAGUGUAUCAAGUUAGUACUCCGUCGUUUUAUUUUUGUAUCAAGUUAGUACCCUAUGAUUUUAUUUUUCUCCGAAUGAAAUAUUAAACCACAGGGUACUAAAGUGAGAAAAUGCGAAACCACGAGGUACUAAUUUGAUACACUUUAAACCACAGAGUACUAAAGUGAGAAAGUGAGAAACCACGGGGUACUAACUUGAUACACUUUAAACCACAGUACUAAAGUGAGAAAAAGUGAAACCACAAGGGGGAUUUUUGAAGUUUUCCCUAUAUUUUUU
rnacentral:lncRNA from 1 species